rnacentral:rRNA from 1 species
GCACCAUUGCGGAAUCUUGCGCAAUGGGCGAAAGCCUGACGCAGCGACGCCGCGUGAGGGAAGAAGGCCUUCGGGUUGUAAACCUCUUUCAGGAGGGACGAAGCUACUCGGGUUAAUACCCCAGAGGGUGACGGUACCUCCAGAAGAAGCCCCGGCUAACUACGUGCCAGCAGCCGCGGUAAUACGUAGGGGGCAAGCGUUGUCCGGAAUUAUUGGGCGUAAAGAGCGUGUAGGCGGCCAGAUAAGUCCGCUGUGAAAUCUCGAGGCUCAACUUCGAGCUGUCGGUGGAAACUAUCUGGCUAGAGUCCGGAAGAGGAGAAUGGAAUUCCUGGUGUAGCGGUGAAAUGCGCAGAUAUCAGGAAGAACACCCGUGGCGAAGGCGGUUCUCUGGGACGGUACUGACGCUGAGACGCGAAAGCGUGGGGAGCGAACAGGAUUAGAUACCCUGGUAGUCCACGCCGUAAACGAUGGGUGCUAGGUGUGGGCGGUGUCGACUCCGUCCGUGCCGAAGCUAACGCAUUAAGCACCCCGCCUGGGGAGUACGGCCGCAAGGCUAAAACUCAAAGGAAUUGACG